UUCCUUUAACCUCUUCCUAUGCAUGUUUUCUUUCUAGUUAGUGUCUUUCCAACUGAUGUAGUUUAUUCAGUAGCCAUUAAUUGGUACUUCUCCAUUCAUUUACAUAUUGAAACAGAACACUUGCAAGAAGGACGGCAAUUCCAUAUGCUCCAGCGGGCGGCACUAAUUAUUUCCAUCAAGAAGGAGAGUUGCAAAUGCCGCUUUGAUACAACUAAUGGCUACAAGCAUAGAUAACUGAAAUUAGAAAUCAGCAUUGCCUUGUUACAUGCUAAACAGGAUACAACCUGUGAUCUUGGGGGAAAUGGAUAUGAUUUUGUAGUACCAUUUGCAAUAUCAAUUUGAGACCAUAUGCUCUCGGUAGAAAUAAUUGUUAUGAUCAAGACAUAGAGUAAUAACUGGACGACUUCUUAAGUGUGAGCUAAAGCUCAUUUAUGUUAGGACGCUACUCAUUUUGAACUUUGAAGAGCAAACACUUCCCUUACCAUCACAAACCUUAGAGCAAGUCGUGGAUUCCCUUUGGCCAAAGACUGUAAUGUAGGGAGCAAUAACCUAACGUCUUGUCACCCUAGGCCAAUGUUGUGAGCAAUCACCU
rnacentral:lncRNA from 1 species